rnacentral:rRNA from 1 species
AACGAACGCUGGCGGCAUGCCUAACACAUGCAAGUCGAACGAGACCUUCGGGUCUAGUGGCGCACGGGUGCGUAACGCGUGGGAACCUGCCCUUAGGUUCGGAAUAACUCCCCGAAAGGGGUGCUAAUACCGGAUAAUGUUUUCGGACCAAAGAUUUAUCGCCUUUGGACGGGCCCGCGUUGGUUUAGCUAGUUGGUAGGGUACAAGCCUACCAAGGCGACGAUCCAUAGCUGGUCUGAGAGGAUGAUCAGCCACACUGGGACUGAGACACGGCCCAGACUCCUACGGGAGGCAGCAGUGGGGAAUAUUGGACGAUGGGCGAAAGCCUGAUCCAGCAAUGCCGCGUGAGUGAUGAAGGCCUUAGGGUUGUAAAGCUCUUUUACCCGGGAUGAUAAUGACAGUACCGGGAGAAUAAGCUCCGGCUAACUCCGUG